rnacentral:rRNA from 1 species
CCUGGUUGAUCCUGCCAGUAGUCAUAUGCUUGUCUCAAAGAUUAAGCCAUGCAUGUCUAAGUAUAAGCGACUAUACUGUGAAACUGCGAAUGGCUCAUUAAAUCAGUUAUGGUUUAUUUGAUGGUACCUUGCUACUUGGAUAACCGUAGUAAUUCUAGAGCUAAUACAUGCAGGAGUUCCCGACUCACGGAGGGAUGUAUUUAUUAGAUAAGAAACCAAACCGGUCUCCGGUUGCGUGCUGAGUCAUAAUAACUGCUCGAAUCGCACGGCUCUACGCCGGCGAUGGUUCAUUCAAAUUUCUGCCCUAUCAGCUUUCGAUGGUAGGAUAGAGGCCUACCAUGGCGUUAACGGGUAACGGAGAAUUAGGGUUCGAUUCCGGAGAGGGAGCCUGAGAAAUGGCUACCACAUCCAAGGAAGGCAGCAGGCGCGUAAAUUGCCCGAAUCCUGACACAGGGAGGUAGUGACAAGAAAUAACAAUACAGGGCUAUUUUAGUCUUGUAAUUGGAAUGAGUACAAUUUACAUCUCUUCACGAGGAUCAAUUGGAGGGCAAGUCUGGUGCCAGCAGCCGCGGUAAUUCCAGCUCCAAUAGCGUAUAUUAAAGUUGUUGCAGUUAAAACGCUCGUAGUCGGAUUUCGGGGCGGGCCGACCGGUCUGCCGAUGGGUAUGCACUGGCCGGCGCGUCCUUCCACCCGGAGACCGCGCCUACUCUUAACUGAGCGGGCGCGGGAGACGGGUCUUUUACUUUGAAAAAAUCAGAGUGUUUCAAGCAGGCAGUCGCUCUUGCAUGGAUUAGCAUGGGAUAAUGAAAUAGGACUCUGGUGCUAUUUUGUUGGUUUCGAACACCGGAGUAAUGAUUAACAGGGACAGUCAGGGGCACUCGUAUUCCGCCGAGAGAGGUGAAAUUCUCAGACCAGCGGAAGACGAACCACUGCGAAAGCAUUUGCCAGGGAUGUUUUCACUGAUCAAGAACGAAAGUUAGGGGAUCGAAGACGAUCAGAUACCGUCGUAGUCUUAACCAUAAACCAUGCCGACUAGGGAUUGGAGGAUGUUCCAUUUGUGACUCCUUCAGCACCUUUCGGGAAACUAAAGUCUUUGGGUUCCGGGGGGAGUAUGGUCGCAAGGCUGAAACUUAAAGGAAUUGACGGAAGGGCACCACCAGGAGUGGAGCCUGCGGC